GCAUUUCUUUUUUAGUCACUCGAAAGUGACCGUAAAAUAUGAUCAUUGUGUGAAAAGUCCGUGAAAGGUGAUGUCAUGAAACUGAUGGGUCAGCGAGGUUGGUGUUACUGCUUCAAUGAUUUUGCCAAUGGUGGUCGCAAUCAGGUGGCUCGAGAACCUUUUACACUUUUCUCUGAGUUGUCUGCUC